ACAUGCUGAUCGGAAGAUUACCAGCUGAAAUGAUGCAUGGUGUGUGAAAAUGAUGCUACCAGUUUGUAAUGCGGAAUUCCCUGGAACCUCAACGUGCUGUGAGUAACCACGACAGACGUCUAUUAUGUUCUAGGUCUUCCGCAGAGAUGAGGCGGAUCGGAGAGACUCCGUUUGGGAGACUUGAGGAAAGAGAGGAAGAUCGAGAUGGAGUGGAGAAAGUUAGCAGAGAUCGUAGUGAAGGCGGUGAGAUUUGCUGCUUGGGGGUCGGCGCCACUUGAGGUUUUGGUUGAGAAUGGUCUAUUCUGAGCUAAUCAGCUUUUAUCAACUGCCAGAUUAAGUCGCACCGUUUUCAUACAUUAAUCAAGUGGAGAUGCCCGGUUUUGGAGACCGAAAGCGGUUAUCCGCACCACGAUGCCCGUGAUGCUUUUGUACACUUCACAAUUUUGUGCUUGUGCAAUAAAUUACUCCAGGAUUGCUUUCAGGCCAGUCGUUAAUUUAUGUAAUGAAUGCUCAGUGAUGCUGACUCGGAGGAAUAUGACACGAUCUAUGUCCUGUUUGAUGCCGAAAGGAUUCUAUGGUGCUUUGAGUAGGUGACGGUGACGAGAGACAAUGACUCUGCUGUUGUUUUCCAUAUCUUGCUCAUCGUUGCCCCAAUCUGGAGCUUUGAGACUUGACAACACACCAGUUUUCUGAGAUAUGCCACAUUACCUUCGCGUUAUCGAUCAAGAUGGUGAUUACUCCGUUGAGCAUUAGAGAAUGGUGUAAUUCUCGUGUCGAGAUUCCUUUCGAGAUCCGUCCUUCAACCCACACUACCACCGAGGAAAGGGAGAGGCCGCUCGCCGUAGCUUUUCUCCAGCUCUCGAGACAUCUACAAAUACAAAAUGUACUUGAGGAAGAAUAAGCGCCAGUCAUUCGUUACUUUUUUCCUCACUUUCCAUAACAUGGCAAUGUUCCAAUUUCUAGUUGCGCUCCUGCUCGUCAGGAGUUUGAUUGGAGGUAGAGCGCACAGCCAUAAGAUGCCCAUCACACUGGAUCAGGAUGCGGACAGAGUGACGGCAUUACCCGGCCAGCCGCUCGUGGGAUUCAACCUCUACGCGGGGAAUGUGACUGUGGACAGGAGUGAAGGACGGGACCUGUUCUACGUAUUUGCACAGUGCUCCAACGACACAUAUGGCACCAAACCUUUGGUUCUCUGGUUCAAUGGAGGCCCAGGGUGUUCUUCUAUAGCCUCGGGAUUUGCACGAGAGAAUGGGCCAUUCCAGAUCUUACCCGGUGGUAGCAGCCUCAUCAUCAACGAAUUUUCUUGGAACGCAGAGGUGAACAUGAUAUGGUUGGAAUCGCCAACUGGAGUGGGAUUCUCUUACGCCAGGCUCAACACGACUGCCAACACAGGCGGAGGCGACACUCGCACAGCUGAGGAUGCGUACAACUUUCUGGUGGGUUGGUUGGGUCGAUUCCCACAGUACCACGGUCGAGAGUUUUACAUCACCGGAGAAAGCUACGCAGGGCAUUAUGUUCCUCAACUUGCCAAACUAAUUGUGGAGCACAACUCAGCCUCACCAUUGAAAAUCAACCUCAGCGGUUACAUGAUCGGAAACCCUGAUAUUGAUAAUUAUUGGGAUCAAACUGGCGACAUAGAUUUCCACUACUCGCAUGCGAUGAUUUCAACGGAAACAUACAACGGCUUAAAGGCCAACUGCAACUUUUCCGAUGAAAACUGUUGCUCAACGCGUUGCGAAGAAUUCUUCGCAACCAUGAAUUUUGAGAUUGGAAAUAUCGACUACUACAGCAUCUACACAGACAGGUGCAUUCGGAGUAACGCAAAACCAAUGCAAAGCAGGUCAUGGACGCGGAAAACCCCAACGGAUCGUGGGAUGAGGGCGCGAUAUGAUCCGUGCUCUGAGGACAAUGCCGAGGUCUACUUUAACAGACCGGAUGUUCAGCUUGCGUUGCAUGCGAACACUACCGGUGUUAUCCCUUACCGCUGGACGAUGUGUAGUAACGUUUUGUAUGCAAACUGGACUGACGCACCUCAAAGUAUGAUCUCAACUUACCAUUACCUAAUCGCCGCAGGACUUAAGAUUUGGAUCUACAGUGGGGACGUAGACAGCGUUGUGCCUGUGACUUCAACCCGAUACUCAAUCGAAGCCAUGAAAUUGCCUGUUUCGAAACCAUGGCAUCCUUGGUAUGAUUACCAGCAGGUGGGUGGACGUACUGUGGUUUACGAUGGGCUGACUUUCGUGACUGUUCGCGGCGCCGGCCACCAAGUACCUCUCCUGGAAGCUGGCCGCCUACUGCAAGUGUUCAGGGCCUUCGUCUCUGGGAAGCCUCUUCCAGGUGCCCCUUUCUAGAUGAGAGCCCUUAGCAAUCCAGUGCGGAGCUCUCAUCACGGGGCAUACUUGAGAUGCUGUGGGAUUCAUCUCCCGUUUCAUCUCCGAAAUGACAGCCUGCUCAUCUGCGAUGUCCAUGAGCAAGGAAGCCUGAAGUCUUACAAAUAUUGAAGAUGAUUGAAGAAAUGCAUAUGGUGCAGAACCAGUUGGUCAAAAGCUUAACAUGUUGGUUUUGUGACAUGUGGGUUUGUUUGGUAGAAUGCUGCGGUGUUCAAUGGUAACUUUAGAUUAUUGAGAUUGUACGUAAAUUUAAACUAUUCUUUGCAUUACACUACAAAAAAACUAUACUAGAAUAGCAAUAAUUGAGAUACACCUGUACAGAACGAUUAGUAAAAUUAAAGAGAGAAAUAUAGUAUUAUAUAUAUAUAUAUAUAUAUAUUCAA